GGCUUGAGGGUGAUCUGGCUGCAAUAUCUGUCACCCCAUUGAUCGCCAGAUUGAUUCGGCUGGCAGGUGCCCUUGCCUCCCUCACACUCCAUGUGCGACCCUCACGACACGCUCGGUGGAAGAGGGCGACCACCCGCGAUAGAGGGGGACAGUGUCCUCAGUAAAGGGUGGAGGAGCAGCUGCACUCCUCUGCCAGUACCUCCAAACAAGCUUUCAAGGUCCAAAUCUGUCUGUUCCACAAAAGACGGAAACAGUAACAGAGAACUCAGGAGAUUGAGGAAUCUCUACAAAAAUGAAGUGCUCAUUUAUUUU
ensembl:misc_RNA 7SK 7SK RNA